GCGAGGCCGAAAGGCGUAGUCGAUGGGAAACAGGUUAAUAUUCCUGUACUUGGUGUUACUGCGAAGGGGGGACGGAGAAGGCUAUGUUAGCCGGGCGACGGUUGUCCCGGUUUAAGCAUGUAGGCUGGUUAUCCAGGCAAAUCCGGAUAAUCAAGGCUGAGGUGUGAUGACGAGGCACUACGGUGCUGAAGUAACAAAUGCCCUGCUUCCAGGAAAAGCCUCUAAGCAUCAGGUAACAUCAAAUCGUACCCCAAACCGACACAGGUGGUCAGGUAGAGAAUACCAAGGCGCUUGAGAGAAC
rnacentral:rRNA from 1 species